rnacentral:tRNA from 1 species
UGGCUCGUAAUAGCAGAGCACCGCACUGUGGCUGCGGCCAGUGAGUGUUCAACUCCCUUCGAGCCACCCA